rnacentral:rRNA from 1 species
UACGUAGGGUGCGAGCGUUGUCCGGAAUUAUUGGGCGUAAAGAGCUCGUAGGCGGUGUGUCACGUCGGCCGUGAAAACCUGGGGCUUAACUCUGGGCGUGCGGUCGAUACGGGCAUCACUAGAGUUCGGCAGGGGAGACUGGAAUUCCUGGUGUAGCGGUGAAAUGCGCAGAUAUCAGGAGGAACACCGGUGGCGAAGGCAGGUCUCUGGGCAUUAACUGGCGCUGAGGAGCGAAAGCAUGGGGAGCGAACAGG